GCUCGACCCAGCCCGGUAUCGUACGCUGCGGUACGAGAGCACCCAGAACGCGUUUCAGAUACGACUAUCCCAGAGAACAGCCCAAAGGGUCCAAUGCGGAGAUAGUCCUAACCCUACUGACAUGAACAAGACGAAACGAGUGAAACAAGAACAGUUGUUACAAGAACAAUUGUAGCUUACUUGCAUUUCAGUCACCACUUGUCUGUCAAACAGCAAAAGGUUCGGACACGCGAUAAGCUAUAGGGGUGUGUAAAAAGGACCUGUCCGAAGGCGGCCAGGCCACAUAAUAUCAGUGUUAUU
rnacentral:misc_RNA from 1 species